ensembl:snRNA U6 U6 spliceosomal RNA
GUGCUCACUUUGGCAGUACAUAUACUAAAAUUGGAAUGAUACAGAGAAGAUUAGCAUGGCCUCUGAGCAAGGAUGACAUGCAAAUUCAUGAAGUAUUCCACAUAAAA